GCCAGGCGUGGUGGCACACGCCUAUAAUCCCAGUGGCUUGGGAGGCUGAGACAAGAGGAUCGAGAGUUCAGAGCCAGUCUCAGCAAUGGUGAGGCACUAAGCAAUUCAGUGAGACCCCGUCUCUA
rnacentral:sRNA from 1 species